GGACGCCGAAGGACAGCAGAGUUGGUUGAUGGAGAGCAUCUGGUCAGCCUCCUGGCGUGCGUGGCAGGGCUGAGAAGGUGGCAAGUGAAUAUGGGGCUGGGGCUGGAAGACAUCCACGGCAGAUGACUGUAAGUGCUAUGGAGAAAAAUAAAGUAGGAAAGAGAGACAAGGAGGAAAUAGGGGUCUUGCUCUGUUACCCACGCUGAAGAGCAGUGGUGUGAUCACAGCUCACUGUAGCCUCAAACUCCUGGGCUUACGUGAUUCUUUCACCUCAGCCUCCCCAGAAUCUAG
rnacentral:lncRNA from 1 species